AGCAGUAGCCGCGGUAAAACGCAGGGGGCUAGCGUUGCUCGGAAUUAUUGGGCGUAAAGCGAGCGCAGGCGGUUAGAUAAGUCUGAAGUUAAAGGCUGUGGCUUAACCAUAGUACGCUUUGGAAACUGUUUAACUUGAGUGCAGAAGGGGAGAGUGGAAUUCCAUGUGUAGCGGUGAAAUGCGUAGAUAUAUGGAGGAACACCGGUGGCGAAAGCGGCUCUCUGGUCUGUAACUGACGCUGAGGCUCGAAAGCGUGGGGAGCAAACAGGAUUAGAUACCCCUGUAGUCCCUGUCUCUUAUACA
rnacentral:rRNA from 1 species